rnacentral:rRNA from 1 species
CCUACGGGAGGCAGCAGUAGGGAAUCUUCCACAAUGGGCGCAAGCCUGAUGGAGCAACACCGCGUGAGUGAAGAAGGGUUUCGGCUCGUAAAGCCCUGUUGUUGGAGAAGAAAGUGCGUGAGAGUAACUGUUAACGCAGUGACGGUAUCCAACCAGAAAGUCCCGUCUAACUACGUGCCAGCAGCCGCGGUAAAACGUAGGUGGCAAGCGUUAUCCGGAUUUAUUGGGCGUAAAGCGAGCGAAGGCGGUUGCUUAGGUCUGAUGUGAAAGCCUUCGGCUUAACCGAAGAAGUGCAUCGGAAACUGGUCAACUCGAGUGCAGAAGAGGACAGUGGAACUCCAUGUGUAGCGGUAGAAUGCGUAGAGAUAUGGAAGAACACCAGUGGCGAAGGCGGCUGGCUAGUCUGCAACUGACGCUGAGGCUCGAAAGCAUGGGUAGCGAACAGGAUUAGAUACCCCUGUAGUC